UCAAGGCCAAAAGCAGCAUGGGCCGAGGAAUGUGCUGGCCACCACUUCCCACAGCCCCCAUUGGCCUGGAGCAGUAAACCGCGGCCAGUGGGAACUGCAAUCGGCCGAACCUGCAGACGCUGCAGAACCGGCACCUACUUUUACAUUGGCCAGUUCCUGAGUUCGAGUGUUCCUGUGUGUGUAGAGAGCACCUAGCACAUUGCAGAUUGGACAGCUACCAUCACCACCAUCAAAACUGAAGCAUAUAUUGUGCAGCAGUGCAAUACCAUUUUGUUAGUUGACCUACUGUUAGUAGAAGAUGAUAAAG